UGAGAAAAUCCUGAGAAAAGAAAAGAUUUCUUUUCCGACAACUAAAAAAGAAAUAAACAAGCACAGGAUGAAAAUUGCAACCACUCUCCUUCUCAGCACAGAUGACCUGAGCAACCUCUGUCACUUUUGUGGCGAGAAAAACACGGACACUGAAGACAUCUGGAUUCAGUGUGACGACUGCUUCAGAUGGUACCACCUUCAAUGUGUUGGAAACCCAGAUCCCCAAGAGGAUUACGUGUGCUUUGCAUGUCAAUAGUUUUGUUAAGUUGUUUCUAUUAUGAUGUUUCUAUCUUGUAAUAAUUUUUUUUUUUUUUUAUUGAGAAGUUAUAAGCAAAACUUUGAAUUACAAUUUUUUGCUACUAUUUGUUAUUGUUGGGAUCCGGAGGCUUGCCCACCAGAUGGCAUCGAGGAUCCCUUCCUGAGGGCUUGUGCUGCCUGUUGGGAUCCGGAGGCUUGCCCACCAGAGGGCGCCAAGGAUUCCUUCCUGAGGGCUUGUGCUCACCUGCCUCACCUGUCUUUCAUCUCCUCAUCAGACCACUCCAGCGCCAAAGUGUUUGCCAGUAACGAUAGAUCCUGCCUGACUACCAGUAACUCU